UUCGAAGGCCAAUUUUGGACCGUGGAACAAAAGCGAUCCUGAGCUAUUUAAAGGAUAGAAUUGUCCAGCAGUAACAGGUUCGUAUUUCCUCCAUGACGACAGUGGCGAACUUGCGGUUCCCGUUGACGAGCUGAGUAGCAUAAACUCUUAAUAUCACUCAUGUUCCCGUUGGUGUGUUAUGUAUAAAUUAGUAUUGUCUAUUGUAUCAAAGCAUUUCAUCAAGCUGGAAUUGUAUCCCAGUUAAGUUUUUAACUCAUUGCUUCGCCUUGCGGUUUCCAUCGCCUAAAUGUGUUGUUGUGAUGUAUUCAAGUAUUAUAUUCACAUUCCUACUAGAUAAUCUUUUAUCUAUGAGUCAAGUAUGAUUCGUGCUGUGGAAAAUUACAUCAGAGCUGAUUUGGUUUUGUUUUGAUAUCCGUAUAAAGCUUGCAGAUUUCCACGACAUAAGAAGAGUUAUUAGCUGUUCUUGUCGGUAAAUUCUACCAUUCACCAAGGUCUCCAGCACUCCCACCUCGGAUGCGCGACACGUGGCAAAGCUAACUUUAUGAAUUGUUAUUUUUCUUUUGCAACUAAUAGUUAACACCGUCAAAUUCUCCCAUCUACCACUCAUUACGUUCUUGGGAAUAGAUAAGUCUCGGUAUCAGACUUCGGCAAUUUUUGUGGCCGAGUGUUUUGGCAACAUUGGCACAUUUGUACUUUUGGGCGCGAUUUUUCGAAUUCCUUUUUUGGUGGGGAUCAAAUGGAGACUUUUGGGUUUUCUUUGUCCAUUUUCUUUCCCACGAAUUCUGAGCUUGUUUUGAAGCUCUUCAUUGAUCUUAAAUGAAAAAUUAAAUUGUA
rnacentral:lncRNA from 1 species